rnacentral:lncRNA from 1 species
AAAAAUGAGACAAACUAUAUUUAUUUUUUAUUUUAUUUUACUUUGAAUUUAUUAAUUUUGUUUUUAAGAAAUAAAAGUUCCAACUACAAGCUCUUCUAGGGAAGUCAUUUUUACUUUCUCUCAUUUAUUUAUUCAUUUAGUCUACCCUAAUAUUCUACCUUGAGGACCAUGCUUAUUGCUAAUGUGGAAGGAGAAAAUAUAUUUUGAUGUUUGACCUCUCUUGUAGUGUUUGAGAUGACAUCUUUGGUGGCUUGUUUUACUUAAAUUAUAUGUUUGAAGUUUAUCCUAUAAGUCAUUAUUGUGUCUGAUUUUUGAGCAAAACCUAACGAUGAACAUGUUGUUAGGGAUAAAUUGAAACUUUGAAAUUGUGUGUGCUAGAUAAAGAGGUUCCUUAGUUUUGACACAAGAAUUUUUUGUUGUGAAUAAGUUGAGGAUUAUUGACAUGGACUAAAAUUAAAACAGCUAAUCCUAACUAAAUCCUUAACAUAGGAAAACUAAAAAAUAAAAAAUUUCAUGAACUAAGGGACAAGAAAAAGAAUAAUUAACAGCUUAGUCUGAAGAAUUAAAAAUAAAAUAAAAUAUCAUUCACUUAUUAGUUUGGGGGUUACUCACACUAGCAUUCAUGUGAAAGAUGAGGUGAAGUAUUGUUUCAAUGAGUAGCUUGGAGAUAACUUGCACUAAUCAAGCCAAAUGUAGAAUAGUAUCAAAUUAAAGAGAAAAAAAAAUAAAGUGUUGUUUCAUUAAAUAACUUGGGGAUUACUUGCACUAAUAGUUAAACCAAAAAUAAAAUUAUAUUAAAUUUAAAAAAAGAAAAUCAUAAAUAAAAGAUUGAGUUGUUUAGUUAAAUCAAAGAAAGAUAUUUCUAUUAUAUCUUAAUCUCUUAUCUAUCUUCUUCGUAUGUCUUCAAUAUGAAUUAUUUAUAUUUUUUAUC